rnacentral:rRNA from 1 species
AGAGCGAACGCUGGCGGCAGGCUUAACACAUGCAAGUCGAGCGGGCGUAGCAAUACGUCAGCGGCAGACGGGUGAGUAACGCGUGGGAACAUACCUUUUGGUUCGGAACAACACAGGGAAACUUGUGCUAAUACCGGAUAAGCCCUUACGGGGAAAGAUUUAUCGCCGAAAGAUUGGCCCGCGUCUGAUUAGCUAGUUGGUGAGGUAACGGCUCACCAAGGCGACGAUCAGUAGCUGGUCUGAGAGGAUGAUCAGCCACAUUGGGACUGAGACACGGCCCAAACUCCUACGGGAGGCAGCAGUGGGGAAUAUUGGGCAAUGGGCGCAAGCCUGAUCCAGCCAUGCCGCGUGAGUGAUGAAGGCCCUAGGGUUGUAAAGCUCUUUUGUGCGGGAAGAUAAUGACGGUACCGCAAGAAUAAGCCCCGGCUAACUUCGCGCCAGCAGCCGC